AAUUGACGGGACCCGCACAAGCGGUGGAUGAUGUGGUUUAAUUCGAUGCAACGCGAAAACCUUACCCACCUUUGACAUGUACGGAAUCCUUUAGAGAUAGAGGAGUGCUCGAAAGAGAGCCGUAACACAGGUGCUGCAUGGCUGUCGUCAGCUCGUGUCGUGAGAUGUUGGGUUAAGUCCCGCAACGAGCGCAACCCUUGUCAUUAGUUGCUACAUUCAGUUGGGCACUCUAAUGAGACUGCCGGUGACAAACCGGAGGAAGGUGGGGAUGACGUCAAGUCCUCAUGGCCCUUAUAGGUGGGGCUACACACGUCAUACAAUGGAUGGUACAAAGGGUCGCCAACCCGCGAGGGGGGGCCAAUCCCAUAAAGCCAUUCGUAGUCCGGAUCGCAGUCUGCAACUCGACUGCGUGAAGUCGGAAUCGCUAGUAAUCGUGGAUCAGAAUGUCACGGUGAAUACGUUCCCGGGUCUU
rnacentral:rRNA from 1 species